rnacentral:tRNA from 1 species
GCCAGUUUGGCUCAGUGGAUAGAGCAUCAGCCUGCAGACUGAAGGGUCCCGGAUUCGAUUUCCGGUCAAGGGCA